rnacentral:rRNA from 1 species
UUGAACGCUGGCGGCAUGCCUUACACAUGCAAGUCGAACGGUAGAGUAGCAAUACUCGAGAGUGGCGAACGGGUGAGUAAUAUAUCGGAACGUGCCCAGUCGUGGGGGAUAACGUAGAGAAAUUUACGCUAAUACCGCAUACGAUCUAAGGAUGAAAGCGGGGGACUCGCAAGGGCCUCGCGCGAUUGGAGCGGCUGAUAUCAGAUUAGGUUGUUGGUGAGGUAAAAGCUCACCAAGCCGACGAUCUGUAGCUGGUUUGAGAGAACGACCAGCCACACUGGGACUGAGACACGGCCCAGACUCCUACGGGAGGCAGCAGGGGGGAAUUUUGGACAAUGGGGGCAACCCUGAUCCAGCCAUUCCGCGUGAGUGAAGAAGGCCUUCGGGUUGUAAAGCUCUUUCAGCCGGAACGAAACGGUACGCUCUAACAUAGCGUGCUAAUGACGGUACCGGCAGAAGAAGCACCGGCUAACUACGU